ACCCCACAUUCUUAAGCCGGCAAUCUGUAGUAUCAAUUACUGAGAUUGUGUGCUCAAUGUGGGAACAGCAAUUGUGGGAAUGUGUAUGGAUGUUUGUGCACACAUUGCCAUAUCCAAAGGAAUCCCUCAGACA